GCUGACCCCGCCCAGGUUUGAGGUGGGUGUGGCACACAGCCCCGCCCAGGUGUGAGGUGGGUGUGGCACAGACCAUGCCCAGGUGUGAGGUGGGUGUGGCACACAGACCAUGCCCAGGUGUGAGGUGGGUGUGGCACACAGACCCACCCAGGUGUGAGGUGGAUGUGGCACACAGACCAUGCCCAGGUGUGAGGUGGGUGUGGCACACAGACCCACCCAGGUGUGAGGUGGAUGUGGCACACAGACCAUGCCCAGGUGUGAGGUGGGUGUGGCACACAGACCUGCCCAGGUGUGAGGUGGGUGUGGCACACAGCCCCGCCCAGGUGUGAGGUGGGUGUGGCACACAGACCCACCCAGGUGUGAGGUGGGUGUGGCACACAGACCCACCCAGGUGUGAGGUGGGUGUGGCACACAGACCAUGCCCGGGUGUGAGGUGGGUGUGGCACACAGACCCACCCAGGUGUGAGGUGGGUGUGGCACACAAACCCACCCAGGUGUGAGGUGGGUGUGGCACACAGCCCCGCCCAGGUGUGAGGUGGGUGUGGCACACAGCCCUGCCCAGGUGUGAGGUGGGUGUGGCACACAGACCUGCCCAGGUGUGAGGUGGGUGUGGCACACAAACCCACCCAGGUGUGAGGUGGGUGUGGCACACCGUCCC